ACGUCGUGAGACAGUUCGGUCCCUAUCUGUCGUGGGCGCAGGAUAUUUGAAGAGCGCUGUCCCUAGUACGAGAGGACCGGGAUGGACGCACCGCUGGUGCAUCGGUUGUUCCGCCAGGAGCACGGCCGAGCAGCUAUGUGCGGUUUGGAUAAACGCUGAAAGCAUCUAAGCGUGAAGCCAUCUCUAAGAUAAGAUAUCCCACAGCUUAAGCUGGUAAGACCCCUCAUGGACUAUGAGGUUGAUAGGCUGCGUGUGUAAGCAUGGUGACAUGUUCAGCUUGGCAGUACUAAUAGGUCGAGGGCUUGACCUU
rnacentral:rRNA from 1 species